CUCUUAUCCAGAGCGGCGGAGGGAAAGGCCCUAUGAAGCCCGGCAACCUACAGGCAUAUUGCCUGAAAAGGUGCUACUACCUGCAGGAGAAAUCCUGGAUGAUAAGAG
rnacentral:ncRNA from 2 species